UUUACAGACCUGAGUCAUCUAUUCUUUGAAUAGUUAAAGCACAGGCAGUGACAAUGCAAGUUUCCCCACAUUGCCCUGCCAUUGGGCCUCAACUCUGCUCUGAAGAGACCAGUUAAAAAUAAUUCUGUAGUCUCUAUGGCCACUAAGUCCUUGGCACGA
rnacentral:sRNA from 1 species